rnacentral:rRNA from 1 species
UUAAAGACGAUGACGUUGAUAGGCCGGGUGUGUAAGCGCAGCGAUGCGUUGAGCUAACCGGUACUAAUGAACCGUGAGGCUUAACCUU